UUUACUCAAAUUUGUAUGGAGUUAGAACGUUUGCCUACGUUUGCUGCUAGGGGCGCUGUUCCAACUGCGUAUAAAUUUAAGUUA
rnacentral:pre_miRNA from 1 species